rnacentral:rRNA from 1 species
GAUGAACGCCGGCGGCGUGCCUAAUACAUGCAAGUCGAGCGAACAGACGAGGAGCUUGCUCCUCUGAUGUUAGCGGCGGACGGGUGAGUAACACGUGGAUAACCUACCUAUAAGACUGGUAUAACUUCGGGAAACCGGAGCUAAUACCGGAUAACAUGUUGAACCGCAUGGUUCAACAGUGAAAGACGGUCUUGCUGUCACUUAUAGAUGGAUCCGCGCCGCAUUAGCUAGUUGUUAAGGUAACGGCUUACCAAGGCAACGAUGCGUAGCCGACCUGAGAGGGUGAUCGGCCACACUGGAACUGAGACACGGUCCAGACGCCUACGGGAGGCAGCAGUAGGGAAUCUUCCGCAAUGGGCGAAAGACUGACGGAGCAACGCCGCGUGAGUGAAGAAGGUCUUCGGAUCGUAAAACUCUGUUAUUAGGGAAGAACAAAUGUGUAAGUAACUAUGCACGUCUUGACGGUACCUAAUCAGAAAGCCACGGCUAAAUACGUG